AGUGAACGCUGGCGGUAGGCCUAACACAUGCAAGUCGAACGGCAGCACAGUAAGAGCUUGCUCUUACGGGUGGCGAGUGGCGGACGGGUGAGGAAUACAUCGGAAUCUACUUUUUCUUGGGGGAUAACGUAGGGAAACUUACGCUAAUACCUCAUACUACCUACGGGUGAAAGCAGGGGAUCUUCGGACCUUUCGCGAUUGAAUGAGCCGAUGUCGGAUUAGCUAGUUGGCGGGGUAAAGGCCCACCAAGGCGACGAUCCGUAGCUGGUCUGAGAGGAUGAUCAGCCACACUGGAACUGAGACACGGUCCAGACUCCUACGGGAGGCAGCAGUGGGGAAUAUUGGACAAUGGGCGCAAGCCUGAUCCAGCCAUACCGCGUGGGUGAAGAAGGCCUUCGGGUUGUAAAGCCCUUUUGUUGGGAAAGAAAAGCAGCAGGUUAAUACCCCGCUGUCCUGACGGUACCCAAAGAAUAAGCACCGGCUAACUUCGUG
rnacentral:rRNA from 1 species